AUUAAUUCUAUUGGUAAUGUUUUGAUAAAUUUAUGAAUCUUUAUGGUUGACUUUAUGCAUUCUUAUGGAUAUAAUUAUAAAUAUUUUAUAAAAUUUUUUGGUUAUGUUAUGAAUCAAAAUUUAAUUUUAUGAGAAUUUAUGACUAAAUUAUAUUUUAAUCUAGUUGACUAUAAAAUGACCGAUUAGGCCGGUAAAAAAAAUCUGAUACAAUCUCAACCAUACAAUUGAUGCAAAUGGUAUAUAAUGACCAGUAUGGUAGCAUUUCUCUCUCUAUAGUAUAAACAGAAAUUAAAAAUGUGCAUGUAUAUGUAAUAUAUGUAUGUACACAGGUUUUGGAUGCACUACCGAGGAUUAAACGCAGACAGAAGACUCCACGUUGAGCUAUAGGAUGGUCUCAUGUAGGGCUAUAGGAGGUCUUCUGUAGGGAAGGGGAUAUGGUGGUUGUGGAGGAAUACCAAGAACAUAAGAAAAAGACAAAGGAAGGUAGGUUCAUCGAAGCAUUUGGAUGGAGAAGGUACAAGAAAAAUAACAAAAGAUUUAAAGUAAACCGAAGAACAAAGGGUAAGAAAAUGACGAUUCUACCAUUACUUAUAAUACAAAAAUAAAUAAAAAUAAAUAUAAUCCUAAAUAUAAUCUAAACAGCCCCCCUCAAACUAACGAUUGUGUUGCAGUAGUAAUAGUUCGAGGAAACGCCAACCCAAAAAAUGAAAGCGCGGAAGGAAAAAAGGGGAAAAGGAAGCGGAUGUGAUUGUAAACAAAUCAGCACAGCUGCAUUAGAUUGAAGAGACAAAGGCAAAACUAAUGGGUGCUGCUGCAAUGAUGACGAGUAAAGAUGACAAUCAAUUCGCGAUAUGCCUGGUUCGUCAUGAAAAACAGACUUAUGGGCAAUCUGUAUAGCACUUUUAUUGUCACAAAAUAUGGAGUGGGAGAGAAACAUUAAACACCAUGUCAGCCAGUACCACCGUAACCAAAAAAUCUAUGGGUAGUAGAGGACAUAGCACGAUACUCAGCUUCUGUUGCAGUUUUGACAACAGACUGCUUCUUAAUCUUCCAAGAGAAAUAAGAGAACACCCAAAAAGAUAUAGAAUCCAGUGGGAGAUUUGCGAUCAACAGGAUCAAUCGCCCAAUCAGCAUCAGGAACAUGCACGCAAUUGUAAAGACGAAGGGGAAGGUAGUAAAGACUUUGAAACUUGAGUACCACAUAGGUACCUCAAAAUACGAAGGACGACAGCACAAUGAAUAGUCGGCGGAGAUGGUAAACAACUGACUAAACAAUAUGAGACAACAUAUGCAAAUCGUUUGGGCGAUAGUAUAAUAAUGAGAUAGACCAAACUUCAAACAAUAUACGAUAUAAGAAAGGAUCGGAGUUAAAGGAAGUAUCAUCAGUCGGAGAAUAACGAACAUUAGUUCAAGAGGAGUCUGGACGUCUUAGUAUCAGAAGCGCGCACGCUCCAAGAAUGAUGCAAAUGUACGUAGACUGUGAAGUAUAUAACCCUUAGGUGAAAGGCUUACUUCUAUGCCCAAAAAAUCACGUAGCGGUCCCCAAAGCCUUCAUUUCAAUGAGAAGCAAUUAUAAUUUCAAACGGUCAAUUCCAGCCACAUAAUCACCGUGUAAUCACAAUGUCAUCACAUAUAAUGAAAGAAGAAUACGGACUGCAGUAGGUGACUUUUAUAAAAAGAGCCAGAAUCAUGAUUGCUGGACGAAAACCAAGAGAGAUAUCGCAGAGUAGAGACUUUUUUUUUAAACAAGCAGGCGGGUACUUGCUUGAGACCAUAUAAACCUUUAAGUUACAACUUCUCCAAAAUGUGGCAACAAUGGUGGGGGAAAAGUCGGAGUCAUCUAAAAACUUCUUCUUGAAGAUCGCCAUUCAAGAAGGCAUUCUUAACAUCAUUUGAGAAAUAUGCACUGACGACUAGAUGCAACUGCACUUAAGAGGACGAUAGUAGUCAUUUUUGAAAUGGAGCAAAAGGCUCUUCUAAUACCAUAAAUACUGUUGGGGAAAAAAAACUUUGGCGACCAAACGAGCAUUGUAUCGCUCAAUAGAACCAUCAAGCCUUGGUUUUGAUUUUGUAGAACCAGCGAGAACCAAUUUUACUCUUACCAGAAGGAAAGGUACCAAAUUCCAAGUACCGUGUUAUGCAAAGAAGAAAGUUCUCAGUCAUAAACCUGCUGCCAACGGGGCUCAAGAAACAGCUCUUUAUAGAUAGAGGCUCAGAAAGAUUGUGAAUAGUGGCUAACAAAAGAAGCAAAGAACUAGAAUAACCAGAAUAAGGAAAAUCUGGCAAAGUCGUAUGACCUAUUGAUGCGGUUAGGAUUAGCGAGGAAGAGGAUACACAAUCUAAGAGUAGUUACUUGGGUAAGCAGAGGUUGAGGCGGAUCCACAAUCUUAGAUGUUGCUGGUGUAGUAGAGCUGAGAGGAUUGAUCGAGCAUCAGAGGCGGAAUUACAAUGUAUGUAGGGGAUUGGAGGAUGAAGGGACACUGGUAUUCUGGAUCUCAGA
rnacentral:lncRNA from 1 species